ensembl:lncRNA
UUCAAAUGCAUACUCCAAAUGCGCUGUCGAUUUCCCAAAAUAUCAAUCAUGGUCCGGUGCACGCUUCGUGGUCCCAUAUAUCCCACAAUCCAUAGCGCGGCGGUGGGUGUGGAUAAUUUCGCCGCAAAAUACGGCAGAAGGGAGCGGCCGAAGAGUGAACUGUCAAAAACUUAGGUAUUCUGAACGAGUGAUGGUGUAUCUGUGUGCGACCAUGUGGCACGAGACCUACGAGGAGAUGAUGAGCAUUAUCAUAUCAAUAUUCAGACUGGACGAGUACAGACCAAAAGAAGACCCAAAGAGCAAUGAUUUCACCUUUAAAGCU